rnacentral:tRNA from 1 species
GCACCCUUAGCUCAACUGGAUAGAGUACCUGACUACGAAUUAGGCGGUUAGAGGUUCGACUCCUCUAGGGUGCA